rnacentral:tRNA from 1 species
GGGAGGCAAAAAGGUAUCACGCGUCGCCGUAAGUCCUUGCUACGUAACAACAAUUAUUUUUGCCGCUGCGUUCGCAAUGCAGAGGUCGAGGGUUCGACUCCCUUCCGCUCCA